UACGGAGGAUGCAAGCGUUAUCCGGAAUGAUUGGGCGUAAAGGGUCCGCAGGUGGCAUUGUAAGUCUGCUGUUAAAGAGUCCAGCUCAACUGGAUAAAAGCAGUGGAAACUACAAAGCUAGAGUGUGGUCGGGGCAGAGGGAAUUCCUGGUGUAGCGGUGAAAUGCGUAGAUAUCAGGAAGAACACCGGUGGCGAAGGCGCUCUGCUAGGCCAAAACUGACACUGAGGGACGACAGCGUGGGGAGCAAACAGG
rnacentral:rRNA from 1 species